UCAAGGAUGCCUGAGGGGAUUUGAGUCCUACAGGCUCAGCACUUAUGAAAAAGGAUAAAGUCCUUCCCAGCCUGGCAGGAGAAGGAAAAGCCUGUGGUGGGGGAAGGGAGUGAAGGCGUGUGCCUCCUCAUGGAACACAGGGUCGGAGUCGGCUAGGAGGGAUAAGAGUACAAUAGAGGGUUGUGUGACACAGACAGGCUGCCAGCCCUCAGCAUGGACCCGGCACAUGGAAUCUGUGAUCUUAAAAGAGUCAAGUGACUACCUUUGGCAACCAAAAGAGACACUGCCUUUUAGAAGGCAUAUCAUCUGAAACUGGCUGAAAGAGCUGUCUUACUUAGGAAGAAAAAUCUCUCCUUUGGAAAGAGCUGGAACUUUUAGUAAAACUGAACAGUGAGGUGGCGGAAGAUAAAUAUGCUGAGGCAUGUUUUCAAGGAGGGGAGAGAGAUUCCUUUUCCUCAGCCGGGCACAGAGCCAACCUGAAGUGUAGCACUGUGGUGACCUGGCGGGAUCUGCUCUCCAGUCACUCCCGAGGGCCCUUCUGGGGACAAGGAGACUUUUCUGUGCGGCCUGUUGAUUUGAUAGAGAUGAUGUCUUGCCACAUUGCCCAGGCUGGUCUCAAACUCCAGGCCUAAAGGGAUCUUCUGACUUUGGCCUCCCAAAGUGCUGAGAUUAUAGG
rnacentral:lncRNA from 1 species